rnacentral:lncRNA from 10 species
CCAUUUGUUAUUCUUGUUUUGCAUUAUGUUACUUUUGAGUUGAGAUCAUUCAUCUUCCAAAUUGCUGAUUUAAUUAAAUUGCUUGAUGUCCCCAGUUGAGUAUAGUGUAGUAUGUUCUGAGUAUCUCAAGUAUGGUUUCAUCUGAGGAGAUUAGAGAAAAUAAUGGCUCAACCAUGUGAAUUUAUUUUGGUUGCCUGUUAUCUGGGUACCUGAUCUAUUUAUCUCUGGGCUAUGCUGUGACUUCUAAUUUAAGCUUAGCUCCAGUCUAUAAUCUGUUUAAAAUAAAGAAUGCCCUAACACUAUGGUGUUAAGAUGAAUGAAUGAACAGAAACUCAAAAGAUCGGCCAGGCGCAGUGGCUCACGCCUGUAAUCCCAGCACUUUGGGAGGCUGAGGCUGGUGUUGAACUCCUGACCUCAAAUGAUCCACUUGCCUCAGCCUCCCAAAGUGUUGGGAUUACAGGCAUUAGCCACCGAGCCCAGCCAGAGACCCCAUCUGUAAAAAAAUUUUUUAAACAUUAGCUGUAGUGGCACGUGCCUGUAAUCUCCGCUGCUUAGGAGGCUGGUGCUGGAAGAUCACUUGAACUCAGGAGUUCUAAGGCUGCAGUGAGCCAUGAUCACACCACUGCACUCUAGCCUGGGUGACAGGGGAGACCCUGUGUCAGAAAG